GUGCCAGCCGCCGCGUAAUUCCAGCUCCAAUAGCGUAUAUUAAAGUUGUUGUGGUUAAAAAGCUCGUAGUUGAACCUUGGGCCUGGCUGGCCGGUCCGCCUCACCGCGUGCACUGGUCCGGCCGGGCCUUUCCCUCUGUGGAACCCCAUACCCUUCACUGGGCGUGGCGGGGAAACAGGACAUUUACUUUGAAAAAAUUAGAGUGCUCCAGGCAGGCCUAUGCUCGAAUACAUUAGCAUGGAAUAAUAAAAUAGGACGCGCGGUUCUAUUUUGUUGGUUUAUAGGACCGCCGUAAUGAUUAAUAGGGACAGUCGGGGGCAUCAGUAUUCAACUGUCAGAGGUGAAAUUCUUGGAUCAGUUGAAGACUAACUACUGCGAAAGCAUUUGCCAAGGAUGUUUUCAUUAAUCAGGAACGAAAGUUAGGGGAUCGAAGACGAUCAGAUACCGUCGUAGUCUUAACCAUAAACUAUGCCGACUAGGGAUCGGACGGUGUUAUUCAUGACCCGUUCGGCACCUUACGAGAAAUCAAAGUGCUUGGGCUCCAGGGGGAGUAUGGUCGCAAGGCUGAAACUUAAAGAAAUUGACGGAAGGGCACCACCAGGGGUGGAGCCUGCGGCUUAAUUUGACUCAACACGGGGAAACUCGCCAGGUCCAGACACAAUAAGGAUUGACAGAUUGAGAGCUCUUUUCUGAUUUGUGGGUGGCGUGCAUGGCCGUCUUAGUGGUGGGGUGACUUGUCUGCUUAAUUGCGAUAACGAACGAGACCUUAAACCUGCUAAAUAGCUCGCAUUGCUCUCGGCAGUUGCAGCU
rnacentral:rRNA from 1 species